GCCCUUUCUUCUUUAGCUCCACCAAUGCGUUGGGGUGGAGUGCGUGACUGCAUGCCAGGGAAUCAGGGGGCAGAGUCCAGAGGGCCCAAGCAAAUGCUUGCCAAGAGUUCAAUCAAUAUUAAAGAUGCCCUGGCAGUAGGCAGCUUAUGUGCAGAAUCUUGGCAGAUUUGUGCAUGGGCUGGUGGCCUGUAAUCUAAAUAUUGUCCAGGCCUGCUAAGAUAUUUC